UGGUCGCAAUACUUCCAAAGGAUCGUCGGGCACGUACCUGCCCGGAAGGAGAAAAAAU
rnacentral:ncRNA from 1 species